UACGGGGGGGGCAAGCGUUGUUCGGAAUUAUUGGGCGUAAAGAGCGUGUAGGCGGCCCGGUAAGUCCGCUGUGAAAGUCGGGGGCUCAACCCUCGGAUGCCGGUGGAUACUGUCGGGCUCGAGUACGGAAGAGGCGAGUGGAAUUCCUGGUGUAGCGGUGAAAUGCGCAGAUAUCAGGAGGAACACCUAUUGCGAAGGCAGCUCGCUGGGACGUUACUGACGCUGAGACGCGAAAGCGUGGGGAGCAAACAGG
rnacentral:rRNA from 1 species